AAUGGGCGAAAGCCUGACGCAGCAACGCCGCGUGCGGGACGAAGGCCUUUGGGUUGUAAACCGCUUUCAGGAGGGACGAAAACAGACGGUACCUCCAGAAGAAGCCCCGGCCAACUACGUGCCAGCAGCCGCGGUAACACGUAGGGGGCGAGCGUUGUCCGGAUUUAUUGGGCGUAAAGAGCUCGUAGGCGGCUCGGUAAGUCGGGUGUGAAACCUCCAGGCUCAACCUGGAGACGCCACCCGAUACUGCCGUGGCUAGAGUCCGGUAGAGGAGCGUAGAAUUCCUGGUGUAGCGGUGAAAUGCGCAGAUAUCAGGAGGAAUACCAGCGGCGAAGGCGGCGCUCUGGGCCGGUACUGACGCUGAGGAGCGAAAGCGUGGGGAGCAAA
rnacentral:rRNA from 1 species